CGUGUCUCUUCACACAACAAGCCAGUAGCGUUGCUAACCAACAGACAGCUUAUCAGCUUCUUGCUGAAGAAACUGAAGGUAAAGGUGCUGGACUGGCCAAGCAUGUCCCCAGACCUAAACCCUAUCAAGCAUCUGUGGGGUAUCCUCUAACAGAAGAUGGAGGAGCGCAAGGUCUCCAACAUCCACCAGCUCUGUGAUGACAUCAUGGAGCAGUGGAAGAGGAUUCCAAGGGCAACCUGUGAAGCUCAGGUGAACUCCAUGCUCAGGAGAGUGAAGACAGUGCUGGAAAAUAAUGGUGGCCACACAAAAUAUUGACACAUUUGCACAUUUUCACUUAGAGGUGUACUCACUUAUGUCACUAGCCAGUUUAGGCAUUAAUAGCUGUGUUGAGUUAUUUUGAGGCAACAGCAGAUUUACACUUUUAUACAAGCUGUACACCGACUAAUUUACAUUGUAUCAAAGUGUCAUAGCUUCAGUGUUGUCCCAUGAAAACAUAUAAUAAAAUAUUUACAUAAA